CCUACGGGAGGCAGCAGUGAGGAAUAUUGGUCAAUGGACGAGAGUCUGAACCAGCCAAGUAGCGUGAAGGAUGACUGCCCUAUGGGUUGUAAACUUCUUUUAUAUGGGAAUAAAACGUUCCACGUGUGGGAUUUUGUAUGUACCAUAUGGAUAAGGAUCGGCUAACUCCGUGCCAGCCGCCGCGGUAAUACGGAGGAUCCGAGCGUUAUCCGGAUUUAUUGGGUUUAAAGGGAGCGUAGGUGGAUUGUUAAGUCAGUUGUGAAAGUUUGCGGCUCAACCGUAAAAUUGCAGUUGAAACUGGCAGUCUUGAGUACAGUAGAGGUAGGCGGAAUUCGUGGUGUAGCGGUGAAAUGCUUAGAUAUCACGAAGAACUCCGAUUGCGAAGGCAGCUCACUGGACUGCAACUGACACUGAGGCUCGAAAGUGUGGGUAUCAAACAGGAUUAGAUACCCGAGUAGUC
rnacentral:rRNA from 1 species